rnacentral:rRNA from 1 species
UUAAGCGACUAAGCGUACACGGUGGAUGCCCUGGCAGUCAGAGGCGAUGAAGGACGUGCUAAUCUGCGAUAAGCGCCGGUAAGGUGAUAUGAACCGUUAUAACCGGCGAUUUCCGAAUGGGGAAACCCAGUGUGAUUCGUCACACUAUCAUUAACUGAAUCCAUAGGUUAAUGAGGCGAACCGGGGGAACUGAAACAUCUAAGUACCCCGAGGAAAAGAAAUCAACCGAGAUUCCCCCAGUAGCGGCGAGCGAACGGGGAGGAGCCCAGAGCCUGAAUCAGCAUGUGUGUUAGUGGAAGCGUCUGGAAAGGCGCGCGAUACAGGGUGACAGCCCCGUACACAAAAGCGCAUGUGCUGUGAGCUCGAUGAGUAGGGCGGGACACGUGGUAUCCUGUCUGAAUAUGGGGGGACCAUCCUCCAAGGCUAAAUACUCCUGACUGACCGAUAGUGAACCAGUACCGUGAGGGAAAGGCGAAAAGAACCCCGGCGAGGGGAGUGAAAAAGAACCUGAAACCGUGUACGUACAAGCAGUGGGAGCACCCUUCGGGGUGUGACUGCGUACCUUUUGUAUAAUGGGUCAGCGACUUAUAUUCUGUAGCAAGGUUAACCGUAUAGGGGAGCCGGAGGGAAACCGAGUCUUAACCGGGCGUUAAGUUGCAGGGUAUAGACCCGAAACCCGGUGAUCUAGCCAUGGGCAGGUUGAAGGUUGGGUAACACUAACUGGAGGACCGAACCGACUAAUGUUGAAAAAUUAGCGGAUGACCUGUGGCUGGGGGUGAAAGGCCAAUCAAACCGGGAGAUAGCUGGUUCUCCCCGAAAGCUAUUUAGGUAGCGCCUCGUGAAUUCAUCUCCGGGGGUAGAGCACUGUUUCGGCUAGGGGGCCAUCCCGGCUUACCAACCCGAUGCAAACUGCGAAUACCGGAGAAUGUUAUCACGGGAGACACACGGCGGGUGCUAACGUCCGUCGUGAAGAGGGAAACAACCCAGACCGCCAGCUAAGGUCCCAAAGUCAUGGUUAAGUGGGAAACGAUGUGGGAAGGCCCAGACAGCCAGGAUGUUGGCUUAGAAGCAGCCAUCAUUUAAAGAAAGCGUAAUAGCUCACUGGUCGAGUCGGCCUGCGCGGAAGAUGUAACGGGGCUAAACCAUGCACCGAAGCUGCGGCAGCGAACGUAUCACCCAAGACAACUUUACGGAGUUGACGAUUGACGGAGCGAAGCGACGUCAAAGCGUUCAUUAAAGUCGAGUUGGCUUAGGGAUACGUUCGUUGGGUAGGGGAGCGUUCUGUAAGCCUGUGAAGGUGUGUCGUGAGGCAUGCUGGAGGUAUCAGAAGUGCGAAUGCUGACAUAAGUAACGAUAAAGCGGGUGAAAAGCCCGCUCGCCGGAAGACCAAGGGUUCCUGUCCAACGUUAAUCGGGGCAGGGUGAGUCGACCCCUAAGGCGAGGCCGAAAGGCGUAGUCGAUGGGAAACGGGUUAAUAUUCCCGUACUUGGUGUUACUGCGAAGGGGGGACGGAGAAGGCUAUGUUGGCCGGGCGACGGUUGUCCCGGUUUAAGCGUGUAGGUGUGUGUUCCAGGUAAAUCCGGUUCACUUUAACACUGAGGCGUGACGACGAGGCACUACGGUGCUGAAGCAACAAAUGCCCUGCUUCCAGGAAAAGCCUCUAAGCAUCAGGUAACACGAAAUCGUACCCCAAACCGACACAGGUGGUCAGGUAGAGAAUACCAAGGCGCUUGAGAGAACUCGGGUGAAGGAACUAGGCAAAAUGGUGCCGUAACUUCGGGAGAAGGCACGCUGACACGUAGGUGAAGUGAUUUACUCAUGGAGCUGAAGUCAGUCGAAGAUACCAGCUGGCUGCAACUGUUUAUUAAAAACACAGCACUGUGCAAACACGAAAGUGGACGUAUACGGUGUGACGCCUGCCCGGUGCCGGAAGGUUAAUUGAUGGGGUCAGCGCAAGCGAAGCUCCUGAUCGAAGCCCCGGUAAACGGCGGCCGUAACUAUAACGGUCCUAAGGUAGCGAAAUUCCUUGUCGGGUAAGUUCCGACCUGCACGAAUGGCGUAAUGAUGGCCAGGCUGUCUCCACCCGAGACUCAGUGAAAUUGAACUCGCUGUGAAGAUGCAGUGUACCCGCGGCAAGACGGAAAGACCCCGUGAACCUUUACUAUAGCUUGACACUGAACAUUGAGCCUUGAUGUGUAGGAUAGGUGGGAGGCUUUGAAGUGUGGACGCCAGUCUGCAUGGAGCCGACCUUGAAAUACCACCCUUUAAUGUUUGAUGUUCUAACGUGGACCCGUAAUCCGGGUUGCGGACAGUGUCUGGUGGGUAGUUUGACUGGGGCGGUCUCCUCCUAAAGAGUAACGGAGGAGCACGAAGGUUGGCUAAUCCUGGUCGGACAUCAGGAGGUUAGUGCAAUGGCAUAAGCCAGCUUGACUGCGAGCGUGACGGCGCGAGCAGGUGCGAAAGCAGGUCAUAGUGAUCCGGUGGUUCUGAAUGGAAGGGCCAUCGCUCAACGGAUAAAAGGUACUCCGGGGAUAACAGGCUGAUACCGCCCAAGAGUUCAUAUCGACGGCGGUGUUUGGCACCUCGAUGUCGGCUCAUCACAUCCUGGGGCUGAAGUAGGUCCCAAGGGUAUGGCUGUUCGCCAUUUAAAGUGGUACGCGAGCUGGGUUUAGAACGUCGUGAGACAGUUCGGUCCCUAUCUGCCGUGGGCGCUGGAGAACUGAGGGGGGCUGCUCCUAGUACGAGAGGACCGGAGUGGACGCAUCACUGGUGUUCGGGUUGUCAUGCCAAUGGCACUGCCCGGUAGCUAAAUGCGGAAGAGAUAAGUGCUGAAAGCAUCUAAGCACGAAACUUGCCCCGAGAUGAGUUCUCCCUGAGACUUAGAGUCUCCUGAAGGAACGUUGAAGACGACGACGUUGAUAGGCCGGGUGUGUAAGCGCAGCGAUGCGUUGAGCUAACCGGUACUAAUGAACCGUGAGGCUUAACCUU